UCCUGAGUAAGUCGGGACACGUGUAAUCCUGACCGAAUCCGCCGGGACCAUCCGGCAAGGCUAAAUACUCCUGAGAGACCGAUAGUGAACCAGUACCGUGAGGGAAAGGUGAAAAGCACUUCGAACAGAAGAGUGAAAUAGUCCCUGAACCCAUACGCCUACAAGCAGUCGGAGCCGCUUCGUGCGGUGACGGCGUGCCUUUUGCAUAAUGAGCCUACGAGUUACUCAUCACCAGCGAGGUUAAGUACUUCAGGUACGUAAGCCGAAGCGAAAGCGAGUCUGAAUAGGGCGUCAAGUUGGUGGUGGUAGACGCGAAACCUUAGUGAUCUACCCAUGGGCAGGGUGAAGGUUUGGUAACACAAACUGGAGGCCCGAACCGGUAAACGUUGAAAAGUUUUCGGAUGACCUGUGGGUAGGGGUGAAAGGCCAAUCAAACUGGGAAAUAGCUCGUACUCUCCGAAAUGCAUUUAGGUGCAGCCUCUGUUGUUUUGUUCUAGAGGUAGAGCUACUGAUUGGAUGCGAGGGCUUCACCGCCUAUCAAAUCCGGCCAAACUCCGAAUGCUAGAACAUGAAGACAGGGAGUGAGCCAGCGGGUGCUAAGGUCCGUUGACGAAAGAGGGAGAACUCAGACCAUCAGCUAAGGUCCCCAAUUAUAUGCUAAGUUGGAAUUAAAACGGGGUGGGACUGCUUAGACAGCUAGGAUGUUGGCUUGGAAGCAGCCAUUCAUUUAAAGAGUGCGUAACAGCUCACUAGUCGAGCGGUCCUGCAUGGAUAAUACGCGGGCAUAAGCAUAUAACCGAAGCUAUGGGAUUGUAGAUGAUACAAUCGGUAGGAGAGCAUUCCAUUCAGCAUAGAAGCAGUA
rnacentral:rRNA from 1 species